rnacentral:lncRNA from 1 species
CUCAAUUCAAGCUUCUGUUUCAAAGUCCUGCCUUGGAGUCAGGUUGCGCAGGAGACUGCGGUAAUGUGAAAUCAGCAGCAAAAUUUGGUAAGAGUAGAAACACUAAUGGAAGCAUCCUUCAUGUGUCUGAGAUCAGUUGCAAAGCAAGUGCCCAGGUAAGGACAGAAAGGUAAAUGCACUAGGCCUUGUGUUUUCAUUAAAU